rnacentral:rRNA from 1 species
GAUGAACGCUGACCGAAUGCUUAACACAUGCAAGUCGAUGGGGAAGUGGUGCUUGCACCAUGGUAACCAUGGCGGACGGGUGAGUAACGCGUAAGGAACUUGCCUGCGGGACUGGGAUAACAGCAGGAAACUGCUGAUAAUACCGGAUAAGGUCAUUAAGCUGCAUAGCUUAGUGAUGAAAGGAGACGCCUGCGGAGAGCCUUGCGUCCUAUUAGCUAGUUGGAGGGGUAACGGCCCACCAAGGCGAAGAUAGGUAGCCGGCCUGAGAGGGUGGACGGCCACAAGGGGACUGAGAUACGGCCCUUACUCCUACGGGAGGCAGCAGUGGGGAAUAUUGGACAAUGGGGGCAACCCUGAUCCUGCAAUUCUGUGUGCACGAAGACGGUUUUCGGAUUGUAAAGUGCUUUCAGCAGGGAAGAAGGAAGUGACGGUACCUGCAGAAGAAGCGACGGCUAAAUACGUG